GAUGAACGCUAGCGGCAGGCUUAAUACAUGCAAGUCGAGGGGCAGCAUGAUUGUAGCAAUACAAUUGAUGGCGACCGGCAAACGGGUGCGGAACACGUACACAACCUUCCAACAAGUGGGGGAUAGCCCAGAGAAAUUUGGAUUAAUACCCCGUAACAUAGCGAUGUGGCAUCACAUUGCUAUUAUAGAUUUUUCGCUUGUUGAUGGGUGUGCGGCUGAUUAGGUAGUUGGCGGUGUAACGGCCCACCAAGUCUACGAUCAGUAGCUGAUGUGAAGGCAUGAUCAGCCACACGGGCACUGAGACACGGGCCCGACUCCUACGGGAGGCAGCAGUAAGGAAUAUUGGACAAUGGACGCAAGUCUGAUCCAGCCAUGCCGCGUGAAGGAUUAAGGUCCUCUGGAUUGUAAACUUCUUUUAUAAGGGACGAAAAAAGGCUUUUCUAAGUCGUCUGACGGUACCUUAUGAAUAAGCACCGGCUAACUCCGUGCCAGCCGCCGCGGUAAGAC
rnacentral:rRNA from 1 species